UACGUAGGUGGCAAGCGUUAUCCGGAUUUACUGGGUGUAAAGGGCGAGUAGACGGCGUUGCAAGUCAGAUGUGAAAUCCUAGGGCUCAACUUUAGAAUUGCAUCUGAAACUGUAAUGCUAGAGUGCAGGAGAGGUAAGCGGAAUUCCUAGUGUAGCGGUGAAAUGCGUAGAUAUUAGGAAGAACAUCAGUGGCGAAGGCGGCUUACUGGACUGUAACUGACGUUGAGGCGCGAAAGCGUGGGGAGCAAACAGG
rnacentral:rRNA from 1 species